UGAGGGAAUAUUUGGGGUCAAUGGGCGGGAGCCUGAACCAGCCAAGUAGCGUGCAGGAUGACGGCCCUAUGGGUUGUAAACUGCUUUUGCGCGGGGAUAAAGUGCGCCACGUGUGGCUCAUUGCAUGUACCUUAUGAAUAAGGACCGGCUAAUUCCGUGCCAGCAGCCGCGGUAAUACGGAAGGUCCGGGCGUUAUCCGGAUUUAUUGGGUUUAAAGGGAGCGUAGGCCGGAGAUUAAGCGUGUUGUGAAAUGUAGAUGCUCAACAUCUGCACUGCAGCGCGAACUGGUUUCCUUGAGUACGCACAAAGUGGGCGGAAUUCGUGGUGUAGCGGUGAAAUGCUUAGAUAUCACGAAGAACUCCGAUUGCGAAGGCAGCUCACUGGAGCGCAACUGACGCUGAAGCUCGAAAGUGCGGGGUAUCGAACAGGAUUAGAUACCCUGGUAGU
rnacentral:rRNA from 1 species